CCUACGGGUGGCUGCAGUCGAGAAUCUUCGGCAAUGGGCGCAAGCCUGACCGAGCGACGCCGCGUGCGGGAUGAAGGCCUUCGGGUUGUAAACCGCUGUCGUAGGGGAGGAAGGCUCCGUGCAGAACGGAGUUUGACCGAUCCUAGGAGGAAGGGCCGGCUAAUCUCGUGCCAGCAGCCGCGGUAAUACGAGAGGCCCAAACGUUAUUCGGAAUUACUGGGCUUAAAGAGUUCGUAGGCGGCGCAGAAAGUAGGGUGUGAAAGCCCUCGGCUCAACCGAGGAAUUGCGCUCUAAACUACUGUGCUUGAGGAAUCUAGAGGUGAGCGGAACUGAUGGUGGAGCGGUGAAAUGCGUUGAUAUCAUCAGGAACACCGGAGGCGAAGGCGGCUCACUGGGGAUUUUCUGACGCUGAGGAACGAAAGCCAGGGGAGCGAACGGGA
rnacentral:rRNA from 1 species